ensembl:lncRNA
GUGGGCUGAGGGGUGCGCGCGUCAGUUUUGAAAGCCCUGGGGCCGCUCUAAGCGGAGGGGAGUGAAAGGGGGAGGGGAGGAGGAGUGGGAGAUGGAACAGAGAAAAAGGGAGGAUUAAUUCGCUACUCGGAUACCAGGGCCAAGGACUGAAGCGUCUUCCUGCUUAUCCCCUCCCCUCCUCCAUCAGGCGUCAUCCAAGGGAGUUGCCUUGGGACAUCCAAGGUGGGGGAGGGGGUGCGGGGACGCUGAGGGCCCGGGAGUGGGAAGCGCAAGGGUGUUUGAGGAGCAAGGAUGUGCGAGGCUCCUUACAGACCCCAGUGGGCUGCGUUCUGGAAGACACCCCAUGGCUGACCCUCUCCAGGUCCCGCCUGAGCCCCUGCAAGGGUUCUGCCAGCGCCGGCUCAACAGCGGCACCUGCUGUCCGGGGCCCUCCCUGCGGGGCGGAGCUCCCCCUCCGCCCUGGGAGCCCAGCGGGAAAUCCCAUGGACAGAGAAGCCUGGCGGGCUACAGUCCAUGGGGUCACAAGCAGCUGGACACAACUUAUGGACAACACCAUAUCUGUAAAAAGUUGAAGCAGAUUUUCAACACAAGUUAAGAAUGGGACCAGUAGGUUUCCCUGGGGGCUCGGUGGUAAAGAAUCUGCCUAAUGCAGAAGACAUGGGUUCAAUCCUUGGUCCAGGAGGAUCCCACAUGCAGAGGAGCAACUAAGCCCAUUCACCGCAAUUACUGAGCCUGUGCUCUAGAGGCCACGAACUGCAGGAAGAGAAGCCACCGCAAUGAGAAUCCUAAGCCCCACAACGAAGAGAAGCCCCUCCUUUCCUCGACUAACACAACCAAAAAUAAAGAAAUAAAAUUAUUUUUUAGAAAAGAAUGGCAUCACUAAUUAUGCGUCUGUUUUCUGUCUGCUGAUGGCUGGCUUAGAUUUUGACUCUCUGUUCUCCCUUUCUGUCCCUCCUGCUGCCAAACUUGCCCUUGAAGUUCUGUGAUCUGUUGAAAGCAUUAUUCUAUUUGAAGGUCAUCAGGGACACCCUGAUUGCCCAACUCAGUCGUCUUCAUAGUCCUUACCCUUUUGACCUCCUCCCAGGCCCUCCUUUGUGAAACCUCCCAGGCUCUGCUUUCUCAGUCUCCGCCCAUCCUCCUCAUCC